UACGUAGGGGGCCAGCGUUGCUCGGAAUUACUGGGCGUAAAGGGUUCGUAGGUGGUGCGGCAAGUUGGGAGUGAAAUCUCUGGGCUUAACUCAGAGGCUGCUUUCAAAACUGCCGCGCUCGAGUGCGAGAGAGGUCAGUGGAAUUGCAGGUGUAGCGGUGAAAUGCGUAGAUAUCUGCAGGAACACCCGUGGCGAAGGCGGCUCGCUGGACCGCAACUGACGCUGAGGAACGAAAGCUAGGGGAGCAAACAGG
rnacentral:rRNA from 1 species